rnacentral:rRNA from 1 species
UGGGGAAUAUUGGACAAUGGGCGAAAGCCUGAUCCAGCCAUGCCGCGUGUGUGAAGAAGGUCUUCGGAUUGUAAAGCACUUUAAGUUGGGAGGAAGGGCAGUAAGCGAAUACCUCGCUGUUUUGACGUUACCGACAGAAUAAGCACCGGCUAACUCUGUGCCAGCAGCCGCGGUAAUACAGAGGGUGCAAGCGUUAAUCGGAAUUACUGGGCGUAAAGCGCGCGUAGGUGGUUCGUUAAGUUGAAUGUGAAAGCCCCGGGCUCAACCUGGGAACUGCAUCCAAAACUGGCGAGCUAGAGUAGGGCAGAGGGUGGUGGAAUUUCCUGUGUAGCGGUGAAAUGCGUAGAUAUAGGAAGGAACACCAGUGGCGAAGGCGACCACCUGGGCUCAUACUGACACUGAGGUGCGAAAGCGUGGGGAGCAAACAGG